rnacentral:rRNA from 1 species
GAAUCUUCGGCAAUGGACGAAAGUCUGACCGAGCAACGCCGCGUGAGUGAGGAAGGCCUUCGGGUCGUAAAGCUCUGUUGCCAGGGAAGAAGACGCGGGAGAGGAAAUGCUCUUGCGGUGACGGUACCUGAGAAGAAAGCCCCGGCUAACUACGUGCCAGCAGCCGCGGUAAUACGUAGGGGGCAAGCGUUGUCCGGAAUUAUUGGGCGUAAAGCGCGCGCAGGCGGCUUCUUAAGUCGGGUGUUUAAGCCCGGGGCUCAACCCCGGUACGCAUUCGAAACUGGGAGGCUUGAGUGCAGGAGAGAAGAGCGGAAUUCCACGUGUAGCGGUGAAAUGCGUAGAGAUGUGGAGGAACACCAGUGGCGAAGGCGGCUCUUUGGCCUGUAACUGACGCUGAGGCGCGAAAGCGUGGGGAGCAAACAG